rnacentral:rRNA from 1 species
GAUGAACGCUAGCUACAGGCUUAACACAUGCAAGUCGAGGGGUCUUUCUGGAGCUUGCUUUAGAAAGACGACCGGCGCACGGGUGAGUAACGCGUAUCCAACCUGCCCUUCAUAUUGGGAUAGCCUUCCGAAAGGGAGAUUAAUACCGAAUAACAUGAGAGAGUUGCCUGAUUUUCUCAUGAAAGCUCCGGCGAUGAAGGAUGGGGAUGCGUUCCAUUAGGUAGUAGGCGGGGUAACGGCCCACCUAGCCGACGAUGGAUAGGGGUUCUGAGAGGAAGGUCCCCCACACUGGAACUGAGACACGGUCCAGACUCCUACGGGAGCAGCAGUGAGGAAUAUUGGUCAAUGGGGCGCAAGCCUGAACCAGCCAAGUAGCGUGAAGGAUGACUGCCCUAUGGGUUGUAAACUUCUUUUAUACGGGAACAAAUGUUAGGUACGCGUACCGAUUUGCGUGUACCGUAUGAAUAAGCAUCGGCUAACUCCGUGCCAGCAGCCG